AGUGAACGCUGGCGGUAGGCCUAACACAUGCAAGUCGAACGGCAGCACAGUAAGAGCUUGCUCUUACGGGUGGCGAGUGGCGGACGGGUGAGGAAUACAUCGGAAUCUACUUUUUCGUGGGGGAUAACGUAGGGAAACUUACGCUAAUACCGCAUACGACCUACGGGUGAAAGCAGUGGAUCUUCGGACCUUGCGCGACUGAAUGAGCCGAUGCCGGAUUAGCUAGUUGGCGGGGUAAAGGCCCACCAAGGCAACGAUCCGUAGCUGAUCUGAGAGGAUGAUCGGCCACACUGGAACUGAGACACGGUCCAGACUCCUACGGGAGGCAGCAGUGGGGAAUCUUCGACAAUGGGCGAAAGCCUGACCCAGCCAUGCCGCGUGGGUGAAGAAGGUCUUCGGGUCGUAAAACUCUUUUAUUGGGAAAGAAAAAAAGCGGGUUAAACCCCCCAUGUUCUGACGGUACCCAAACAAAAAGCCCCGGCUAACUUCGUG
rnacentral:rRNA from 1 species